rnacentral:rRNA from 1 species
AACGCGAAGAACCUUACCUGGGCUUGACAUGUCCCUGACCGCCGUGGAAACACGGUUUCCCUUCGGGGCAGGGUCACAGGUGGUGCAUGGCUGUCGUCAGCUCGUGUCGUGAGAUGUUGGGUUAAGUCCCGCAACGAGCGCAACCCCCGUCGCAUGUUGCCAGCAUUUAGUUGGGGACUCAUGCGAGACUGCCGGUGACAAACCGGAGGAAGGUGGGGAUGACGUCAAGUCAUCAUGCCCCUUAUGUCCAGGGCUACACACGUGCUACAUUGGCGCGUACAGAGGGCUGCGAUACCGCGAGGUGGAGCGAAUCCCUCAAAGCGCGUCUCGGUUCGGAUUGCAGGCUGAAACUCGCCUGCAUGAAGGCGGAGUUGCUAGUAAUCGCGGAUCAGCACUGCCGCGGUGAAUACGUUCCCGGGCCUUGUA